UACGUAGGUGGCGAGCGUUGUCCGGAUUUACUGGGCGUAAAGGAUGCGUAGGCGGAUAUUUAAGUGAGAUGUGAAAUACCCGGGCUUAACUUGGGUGCUGCAUUUCAAACUGGAUAUCUAGAGUGCGGGAGAGGAGAAUGGAAUUCCUAGUGUAGCGGUGAAAUGCGUAGAGAUUAGGAAGAACACCAGUGGCGAAGGCGAUUCUCUGGACCGUAACUGACGCUGAGGCAUGAAAGCGUGGGUAGCAAACAGG
rnacentral:rRNA from 2 species